rnacentral:rRNA from 1 species
ACGCUCGACACCUACAGGAGGCAGCAGUGGGGAAUAUUGCACAAUGGGGGAAACCCUGAUGCAGCGACGCCGCGUGAGUGAAGAAGUAUUUCGGUAUGUAAAGCUCUAUCAGCAGGGAAGAAGAUGACGGUACCUGAGUAAGAAGCCCCGGCUAACUACGUGCCAGCAGCCGCGGUAAUCUGAGCGGGCUGGCAAGGC